GGUCUGAGUGCGGCUCGUUUAACCUGCGCGUUGUAAACCCAAAGCCAUCCGGGGCCGCUUUGCCUUUUGCCGCUGCAUUUUAGCCACCCAGGCUACGUCAGCGGGACGCUUAAAAAAAACCACACACGCACACACACAACGGAACUAUGGCGACAGGUAACGCCAGCACGACCGGUGGACGAGGAGUAGUUUGGUUCAACGACGAAACAAUUUCACUUCUCCAGAGACGGGACGAGGAAACAUCAAGCGGAAACUGUCCACGACGCUCAGAAACACAAAGGUAUCUCUACAGUUUUCAGGACAAAUGAAAGCGAGAGGCUUCAACAGGACCGCUGUCUCGGAUUUACCUGCGACUCCGUUAACUGGCGACUUCCGGCCGAAAGCAUCUGUGGCUGUAGUGACAACGGCUGUCUUCAAGCAGGAAGAAAUGGCGUAGCUGUCCUCGUGAAUGUCUCUUUUUCAGUUUUCUAUUACAAUAUGAAAACAUAUUGUAGCAGGCGGACACGAUGGGCCAGGCUGUGGGUCAGGAGGUACAGCGGGACGUCCAUUAAUCGGAAGGUGAGCGGUUCGAUCCCCGCCUCCUCCAGUCUGCAUGUUGAAAUAUCCCUCAGCGAGAUAGUGAACCUCAAAUUGCUCCCGAUGGCUGUGAGCAGCUGGUGCAGUGGGAGUUCACCUGCUGAGUUGUGCAGAUACAAUAUAAGGUUUGGUGUGUCACUGGUAGAAGUUUGGGUGUUUUUCUGUUGGUAAAAGGGGUUUAUUUUCUGUGUAGUACUUCCAGUGUACUGACCUAUAGAUUUGUGCUCCACACCUCCUGCAGCAAGGCACUUUUAAUAGCUUUUAUAAUGUUGCUGAUAGGGAGCCUGAAUUUAAUAAAAGCCUGUUGUGGCAUUUUGACUGUUGGUUUUGUUAGUGAAGUUCACCUGUAGAUAUAUAAACGUGAAUUUGGGUGUUACACAUACCUGAUGCUGAUGCUGAUACUUCAGCUUGGCUCUCACCCUCUCCACAACGCUCUGGUCGAACAGAGGAGCACCUUCAGCCAGAGACUGAUUGCUCCUCAAUGCACCACUGAGCGCCACAGGAAGUCAUUCUUACCUGUGGCCAUUAAACUGUACAACUCCUCCCUCUGAUGAUGGGACUCAUUUGGCUAUUUAUAAAACAAAACACACAAUAUAAUUACUCAUUCUUAUUUCAUUUAUAACGCUACAACCAUUUCAUUGCAUAUUGUACAUAUUUCAGAUUGUCUGCUUUACUAUUUUAUUAUUUAUUUUAUUUUAAUGUCCACUUUAAUGUUUUAUUUUAUUUAUUUCAUUGUCUAUUUUAGUAUCUUAUUUAUAUCUUCAUCUUUAUCUCUUGUUUCCAUUUAUGCUGUAUUUCUAUUUCUACUUUGCACAGAGCAUUGGAACAAAAACAAUUUCCCCCCAGGGAUUAAUAAAGUAUUCUGAAUCUGAA